UCUGACUCAACCUAACAAUUCCUCUCACUCUCUCACAAUACAACUCGACCAACCCACACCUAAUCCUCCCUCUUCCUUCUUCACCUCCCAAACCUCAACUGACUUUCAAAACCUCCCACUCUAACUUUUACUCCCCCCUUGCAUUCUCACUGGCCAAUCACAUCACACCCAUUUUAACCCUUUCCUUAUGACCUAUCCUAGGAGGCAAACGCCACAGCCUCCAGAGCAGGGGUAGGCAACCUAAGACCUGGGGGCUGGAUGCAGCCGAAUCGCCUUCUCAAUCCAGCCCGUGGACAGUCCGGGAAUCAGUGUGUUUUUACAUGAGUAGAAUGUGUCCUUUUAUUUAAAAUGCAUCUCUGGGUUAUUUGUGGGGCAAAGGAAUUCAUUCAUAUAUUUUUUCAAAAUAUAGUCCAGCCCACCACAUGGUCUGAGGGACUUUGGACCAGCCCAUGGCUGAAAAAGGUUGCUGACCCCUGCUCUAGAGCUCUAGUGACCAAUGAGCUAGCAGAGGGAGGUGUCACAAUGAAGGGUGUGUCACAAGGAACUCCUCAACCUAGCAACCACCAGCACUUGAACUGACACUACUCUCAACUGACACUACUAAGCUUGCUUAUAUGGCUUUUAAUCCAUGUUCAGCUUUUUACAAGUAUGUAAAAUGAAAUUUAUCCCUUUAUAUUCAAGCUUCCGUUGUUCCUGCACCUACUGAGCAUUAUCUAUCUAAUCUACCUCUCUGCCUCUUUGGCAGAGAGGAACAGCGGAAAACCAGAAAUCACUCCUUGCGUGUUUAUUAAUUUUAUUCCCCUCCUUCACUUGCAGGUCCCAGGGCAAGUUACAGCCAUCUAAAUUAUAAUUAUUGUUGUUAUUAAUUAAAUUUGUAUACCACCCUAUACCACAGGUUUCAGGGCAGUUCACAGGAUAAGAUCACAAUAUAAAAAUACAAAAUCCAUAAUAAAAACAAAUACAACCAAUAACCCCCACCACACACACACACACACACACACACACACACGGGCAUUGGAUGUCAACAGGGCGAGUCUUGAAAAUACAACUCUCUGGUGUCAAAGGCCAGAUAACAGGCCCCCUAAGUGCCCCUAUUCCCAGGGACAGUCCCAGAUUUACAGAAGCUGUCCCAGUUUCUGAUUUGAUCCUGGGAUGUUCUGCUGUUCUUUAGGUCCUCCCUAUUUUAAAUGUUCCCAGGACUGUCAUGGAGCAUUAUCAGCACAGAAUGCAGAUGCUGAUGAGAAAGUCUACUUACACCUCCAUCCACUUUCUUUCUCACUUGCUGAAUGAUCAAACCAAAGGAGAUCGCUAUGUCUCUAGAGGACCAAUGAGCCAGCAGAGGGAGGUGUUACAAUGAAGGGUGUGUCACAAGAACCUCUGCAACCUAGCAACCACCAGCACUCAACUCACACUACUCCCAACUGACACUACUAAGUUUGCUUAUAUGGCUUUUAAUCCAUGUUCAGCUUUUUACAUGUAUGUAAAAUGAAAUGUAUCCCUUUAUAUUCAAGCUUCCGCUGUUCCUGCACCUACUGAGCAUUAGCUACCUAAUCUACCUCUCUGCCUCUCUGCUGCAACUGCCACACACCAAAAGGCUAUGGAAAGGGCCCUGUGUCUUCAACAAUUCACAAAUUGAUUCAUUGCAGCUCAACAGCAGCCCUCUCCUUCUUUUCAGUGUCACCCUAUAUUGCUGAACAGUGGAAAACCAGAAAUCACCCCUUGCGUGUUUAUUCAUGUUAUUACCCUCCUUCACUAGCAGGUCCCAGGGCAAGUUACAACCAUCUAAAAUUAUUAUUGUUGUUGUUAUUAAUUAAAUUUGUAUACCGCCCUAUACCCACAGGUUUCAGGGCAGUUCACAGGAUAAGAUCACAAUAUAAAAAUACAAACAACAACAACCCAGUAACACACACCCCCAAACACAUUUUAAAAGGGCAUUGGUUGUCAAUCAGAUCAACCAAAGACCUGGUUAAAAAGGAACACUUUCACCUGGAACCUAAAGAUGUAUAAUGAAGGUGCCAGACGAACCUCCCUGAGGAGAGCAUUGCACAGACAGGGAGCCACUGCAGAAAAGGCCUGUUCUCGUGUUGUCAUGCUCCAGACCUCUUGACCUCAGACUUUUUCUGGAUGCCCUUCAAGAUGUCACUAUUAAACUAAUCUGCCUAACUAAUCUCUAUAGGAUGGAGAAACAAAACUAAGAUGUUCAAAUCAGAACAUUUGCCAAAGGAGUACAAGUUAUUCAAAUGAAUUUAUCCCUCUCUCCUCAAAAUUCAGUCUUCUAUAUCUCUCAUAUUACACAGGUUCCUGUUGACUUCUUAAGGAGAUCUCUUUUCAAGGUAAUGAGCUGUUGAUAAUGUUUAAUGACCUUAUACAGUAGGAGUUCUACAUUUCGGGAUUAAAAUUCAUCUCAAGCAUCCUGGCCUGAGAAGCAACAGACUGUGCCUAGCGAACCAUUACCUAAGACUAUACAAGUGACACUAGCAGCAGCAAUUUUAAAAACACUGCAAUAGCAAUACGCAUCAUAUUAAAAAGAAAGAUCUCAAUGCACACAAGUUAACAAAGUCAGGAAAAGGGCAAGUUUCAUCUUUAAAAAAAAUAUUUUGUAUAAUAAUGACUUUGCAUUAUUUCUACUAGGUUUACAUAAAACAUAAAACAUAAAACAUAAAAAGAUGGUAUCACAAAUACUAGAAAGGCAGCACAUGUUGUUUUUAGCAUCCUGCCAUUUUAUCAAAAGCCUCAUAGUUUAUAAGGAGCAGGAAUGUGAGAAGAGUGCAUUUCAUCCAAAGUUUGACUCUUAAUGAAUUCUACCUAUGUGCAACCAAUAAGCUUACCUUUGUUGUCCUCCAACUUUGGACCAGUUGCAACAUAUAGAUGGGCCUCUGCCAUGAUGUUGUCUGGAUUCUUCUUGUGUCAAGUCCAGUUUCCACAAAUCCCUCUCUUUAGAGCUGCCCAACCACAUCACAUUGCAUGCUGGAGAUUCUCAGAAAUGGCUUUUCAGGGGGUUGCAGUGGGGAGGAGUGAGUGAGAAACCCCCACUGCAUGAGCCUUGCUCAGGCAUUUUUAGACCCAAGCCAUAACACAAAAUGAGCAACCAUAUACGUUAGGAUUUUACUCUCCCUUGGUUGCAUGCAUGAACUGGUCUUUUGUCUCACUCCUAAAUAUGUGCCAUUAAAGGUAAUUCGGCCAUUAAAUGUGACCUGCAGCUUCAGGGCACAAUGGUGAAGCAGAAAGAAAUCUAAAACAGUCAGCUGAUGAGAAGGGAAAUGCUUGAUCUGCACCUGAACCUUUCACAACAGCUUUUCCCUCACCCAGAAAUCACAAACAGUUCAUUCUAUGGCAGCCUUUCUCAACACUGGGUCCCUAAGUGUUGUUGGACUACAGCUCCCAUCAUUGUUCACCACUGGCCAUGCUGGUGAGGAAUGAUGGGAGUUGUAGUCCAAGAACAUAUGUGGUUGGAAAAGGCUGCUCUAUGGGGAUGAACAUUAUUACCACCUGAGGUUUGCAAACCAAGCUACUGUUAAAGUAGCCUGGAAUACAAUCACUUACCACCUGGUCACCAUGAGCAAUCAGGAAUCUCAUUCAGGUGAGUGUGUGGGCUGACAGUGUGGAGAGAGAGAUUUGUUCUUCCUCUUCCAGCUUCUAUGCUGACAACAGAGGUUGUGAAGCCCCUUCCUCCAUGGCCAGCAUAGAAAUACAGCACACUGGUCAAGGAAGCUGUCCCCGCCUUUGCCAACCCAUGAAUGAAGAGAAGCAAAAACAUAGACAACUACCCACAGGGUAAUGGAGCAAACUGCAGCUCCACUACUGGUCUGCUGUGCUUCUCUGAUGGUUGUGCUUCUUUUAUAAGCAUAAGAAAACUUGGCAAUCCCAAUAAGCACAGGGGAAAUGCCGUUCCCCAAUAGCCUGCCUACUUUGUAUUGAAAAACAAGUUAGCUUAAAAAAGGGCGGGGGGAGGGGAGAAAUUAAAUUGUUGGUUUUUUUUCCUGCUAGAUUUUCAGUCAGAAGCAUUACCAGGGGAGAAAUCAAUUGGCAGCAGCUGAGAAGAGAUAUUUAAGUUGAAGGCCAGAACAUCUUAAUUGGGAAAGGGUGUUAAAAGUUGGAGCUAGAGUCACUUCAACAUAUAACAAAGCUCUCAAAAAAGACUUUCUAUAAAAUCAAGUAAGGUCAAAUAUAAUGGGAAAUGCCUUGCCAAACCCAAGGGGGGGGGGGUUGAAAUUGUCCACAAAGACUUUAGAUUCUGCACUAGAAUAGCCUUUCCACAAAAUCAGUUGUUUGUGUACGUUCAGCUGUUUAUCCUUUGUAGUGCACAAUGCAUAUGCCUUCCCCAGAACUUGUGCUUCUAUUGUGGGGCUAUAUCGCAAUAUUUUAUGGUUUGGGAGAGUGACAUUUGUCCCCCAAAUACUGGAUGCAUGGCUAUUAGUUAUGUAUGCAGUGUUGCUUAUGCAAGUGUCAAGGACACCUCUUGGAUAUUACCUCUCAAGUGAAAGAUAAGUAACAAAUCUGCACUUUGUGCCCAGUUCUACUGACAUUUUGUGACCUUCAGAAACACUUUCCCCUCACAAACCAGGAGACCCUGUAGUUCUCCAGAAGUUGCUGGACUAAGCGCCCUCCACCCCUGACCACUGGCCAUGUUGGAUGGGACUGCUGGGCACUGGGGUGACAACAACAUUUGAAGGGGCCACGAGUUCUUGAUUCUUAUCUUAGAGGUUGUGUGCUUCCCUGCUAUGCAUAUCAAACAGAGGGGAAAAAUUGUUGUGGCUGUUAAGUAAUGCCACUGAAGUUAUCUGUCCCCUGCUCUCUGGCCAGUAUCUUGGCAGCCAUCUGGGUCUAGAUCAUAUUUCACUCCUCCAGCCUUUAAUUCAGAGAUGGGAAAUCAAUGGCUCUUCAGGUGUUAUUGGGUCUCCAAUUCCCAUCAGCCACAAACAGCAAAGCCAAUGGUUAAGGAUAUUGGGAAUUGGUCCAACAACAUCGGGAGAGUCACAGAUGCCUCACCUUUCUGCUGAAGGGGAAUUUUUUUGUGCAAACUCUAUAAAAAGGGGGAAAGGAACCAAAAAAAUCCUUCAAUUUUGAAAUCCUUUAUUAGUAUUUUUUAAAGGAAGAUUCAAGAUUCAUUGUGAUCUUAGCUGCCCUCUCCUCACCUUCCUUGUGCUAGAGGUUCUCGUGAAGCUUUUUUUAAAAAAGAAGAGCACACAAAUGUAGCAAAAUAUAUUUUUAUGCGGUGCAACAUAGUCUCAUUAAAGCAAGCAAACGUAAUCAAGUUUUGAAUGUGAUCCAACAUUGUUUCAACAGACGUGAUGGAACUUCCCUUACUAUUUGGCAACCUCUGUCUCCACCCACUCUGUUCCAAAGACUCACCAAUACUCAGGAGUAGAUUUAGAGGGUCAGCAGUGGGCAGGAGAGGUAGGGGAGCAGUCUGUUGUGCAUGCACAAUGCCACAAUCAGAUAUCACCCUUUGGCUUGAUAUUCCCCCCACCCACCCCCAAAACUGAACAAAGAAUCUAUAAAAAAAACCCACAGGGUAAGCAGGCUAGCUGUUAACAACUUAAAAAUAAACUGGUAUAUUUAUUUAAAUAAAACUGAAACUGUGUUUGUUUGCCAUGAUAUAAUGAAAUUAUGGGUGCUAGUUUUAUGCUGCAGUAUUAUAAUGUGGGGGGAUGAUAGGAUACAGCUGUAAUGCACAAGAGAAAGAGAAAAGGGAAAAAAAACUGAAUAAGAUUAGAUUUUCAAUUAGCCCAUAUUUGGCUGAUACAAGAGACUGUGCAUACAUUUUGAGUUACAAUAAAAGAUUGUAGGAAAAGAGUAUAGUAUAGCUGAAAUCCUGUAUAUUUGCGCCUAUAGAUGUCUGUCCAAGAAAAAGAUAUAUGAAAGGGCAAACCAGAUGCUCAUUGAUUUCAACAUUUCUACAUUGCUUCCUUAGUCCUCUAGAAGCAGCAAGCUCAUACAACAACAGCAACAACAACAAUUCAGUUCAUUGCUAUUGGGAAAUUAUCACAGAAAUUCUAGUCUCUGAAAUAUUCAAUUCUGCUACAUUUCCUAUCCUGUGGUGACUCUUCUAAUCAAUAUUUUACUUGAAAGGAGUCGAACUCCCUCCUAUUUUAUUUAACUUUAAUAGGUACUAUUCCAGGUAAGUAAAUAUAUAUCAUGUGACACUACAUUAUCAGCCAGAAAAGCCAAGGCUCUGAGAUUAUGAAAUCCUUCCUGUCUUUGAUUUGUUCAGAAUAACCACUCAAAAUCUGAAUGGACAUUGCUUGUCAAAUACAGUAUAAAUAAAGUCCUUGCCCCAUUCUCUCACUCAGAGUAGAAAUUAGCACCAGGUGAAUACAGAGUUCAUCUUUAGCUGUCGGGGCUUGUGAUGUGACCUGCUUGACUAGCAUUACUGAAAAUUAAGAUGCCUGUUCAGUAACACACACAAAAGUGAUCAAUGCUGUAACAUUUCUCAAAACCAGAUAUUUGUAGUAGAUAAGUACUUUUAUAUUUAUACCAUUUUAAAGAAAUUCAGUUUGAAUUUUUGUUCUUUUAAGUUUUGAAUUCAAGCUGAAACCAGAAUUCUUAGUGGGCCGAUUGAAUCAGAUUUUCUGGUUAGGAAUCAUCUGGAUCAGACCAUUUAUUAUUAUUAUUAUUAUUACUACUGCUACAUACAAAUGAAUGCAAACAGCAACAAAAAACUAAUGGAAUAUGAUUUUUUUAUGUUAAUAUAAAAUGUAGUAAUGGAAUGAUCAAUUUCGUGUGUUCACCAUAUGGCAUACAAUAAUAGCAAAGAAUGUAUCCCCAUUUCUUGGUCAACAUCACCCUCCAUUUUCCUUCCAGCAGUUUUGAUACGAAUGAGCUGAAUGAAUGCAUAUUCAUUAUUAAUUUGUAAUCUGUCUCAACUAGGGUGAGUAGGUGUAUUAGGAAACAAACUAAUACAGUUUCUCCCUCUGAUAACCCAUUUUGGUUGCUUGUUGGUGGACAGAUAUUUUGAGAAAUCAUAUACAGGCAUCUCCCAAGUUAGUAAUUUCAUAGGAACCAGCAUCCUUAGCCAGUCAGAACAAGAAAGCUAUAAAACCUCUUUAAUUUAUUUAUUUAUUUAUUUUAAAAAAACCUAACAUUUUUUCCUUUAAAGUUAUCAGUUGUACAGGAUUGGGUAUAUUUGUACUUUGGAAAGUACAAAGAUUCUAGGCAUAUAGUUGAAGGCUUCGUUUGAAUUGGAGAAUUUGGUCUCCUUCCAUUUAAAGUUCAUUUCAUAUGUGCAAUUCAGAAAAGGUGCUUCAAGAAACUUUGGCAAUCUACAGUUAGCUAGUAUCAAUGCUCUUCUAAUAUUGUGUAUAUUUCAAAUAAGGGAGAACUUGGAACAAAUUUACUCAACCACAAAAAGAGAUUGGAAAGGAGGCCCAGAGGAAACACACAUGAUUGUAGGAUAAGCAGUUUCAGAAAGUGAACAUUAAGGUGGGAAGGAACAUAUUAUUGUUGUUUAUCUCAGAAAGAAAGCUCUUAGCGAAAUGACAUGCUUUAGCUGGGAUUUCUAACUUCAGUUAGCAAAACAGGAUUGAAUCUGCUAAGUAAAUACAAUGAACUGAACCAAGUAAAAGUAUUAUCAAAAUGGGUUUAAACACAGUCUAUUAGAUACAACCUUAUGAGCAAUAAUUUAGCCCAGAAAGUAUUUGGCCUUCCAGGUUUACGUGUGAUUUAAAGAGGCCUCCUCUCUCAUACUAAGCAAUGAGUCUCUUUAAAGGAUUUUGUCUAUACUCAUUUUUGACAGAUGAAAUUAGCAUGGUGGUUUGGGGGAAUGAAGUUUGUCAUAUAAAUCCAUGAAGCCAAAUGUUGGGGUAAAUGAAUAGAACAUGUUUGGAAACUGUCUUGAAACAUUCAAAGAACAUUGUUCAAUGGUGAAGGGUAUAACAAAAAAAAAUAAAUCACAAGUAUUGAAUGUGAACACCUCUAAGGAUUAAAAUUGAGAACUGUAGAGGAUUCUAAAUUUAUUUUUUAAAACUUACUUACUACUAAACAUGUUAUAUAUGCUAGGGAAUUACAAUUCCAACAAUUCCAACUCAACCAAUCUUAUCAGAUUCCAGAACAUUUAAAGGCUAAUGUACAGGCAUAUAUCAGAUGAAUUUUGGAACUGGAAGUGACUGAGUCAUCAGGCAAACUAAGGCCCGGGGGCUGGAUCUGGCCCAAUCGCCUUCUCAAUCCGGCCUGCAGACGGUCCAGGAAUCAGCAUGUUUUUACAUGAGUAGAAUGUGUGCUUUUAUUUAAAAUGCACCUCUGGGUUAUUUGUGGAGCCUGCCUAGUGUUUUUACAUGAGUAGAAUGCGUGCUUGUAUUUAAAAUGCAUCUCUGGGUUAUUUGUGGGGCAUAGGAAUUCGUUCAUUUCCCCCAAAAAAAUACAGUCCGGCCCCCUGCUGAAAUAGUUGUUGACCCCUGUUGGUAAUCAUUACUGUGUCAAAAACAAAGAAUGUUUUCAUAUUUCCCCCCUUCUGAUACUAACACUUUAAAGUUCUCGGUCCCUGGCUAUGCGAUUUUCAGUCAUGUCAAAAAUCAUAUGUCCUUUCAUCCAUCGAAUACAGCUUUAUUUGUAAAUAUAUAUUUUUUCAGGCAGGAAUGAAGAUUUGGAGAUAUGCUUCAGAGAUCCAGACUAUGGGGAGCCCGGAAAAACUACAAUUUGGACUACAAUUUGAUCGCUUUUUUAUUUUAGUUUAUUGUUUUUAAUUGGAUUAUGAUGCGGAUAUGUUGAUUGGC
rnacentral:lncRNA from 1 species